UAGGAGGUUUCUUUUCAGCUCCCGACCGCCUCCUUCUCCAGGUCUCCCCGGUCCUCGCCGAGGUUCCCGCUUUUCGCUCAGGGGUCAUCACAGGGCGCCAAAUGCACUCCCGCGGGAAGGCCGGGGGCGGGGCGCGGCUCAGCGCCGCACGUCAGUGGCCUUCCGGGCGGAAGUCCGCAGUCUUCCAGGCCGCUGAUUGGCUUUCGUACUGGCGCCUAUCUUGGCCUCCGCGCCAGUUUCAGGCUGGUUGGCGCGGAAUAGAGAGACUAUCGGACCAUGGCGCCCAUGCACGAAGAGGACUGUAAACUGGAGGCAAGCGCUGUGUCAGAUUCAGGGAGUUUUGCAGCUUCCCGAGCUCGGCGAGAAAAGAAAUCAAAGAAAGGACGUCAAGAAGCUUUAGAGAGACUGAAAAAGGCUAAAGCUGGGGAGAAGUAUAAAUACGAAGUUGAGGACCUCACAAGUGUUUAUGAAGAAGUUGAUGAAGAGCAGUAUUCGAAACUGGUUCAGGCCCGUCAGGAUGAUGACUGGAUUGUGGAUGACGAUGGGAUAGGCUAUGUGGAAGAUGGCAGAGAGAUUUUUGAUGAUGACCUUGAGGAUGAUGCACUUGACACCUGUGGAAAAGGAAGUGAUGGCAAAGCACACAGAAAGGACAGGAAGGAUGUAAAGAAACCUUCAGUGACAAAACCAAACAAUAUCAAGGCAAUGUUCAUUGCUAGUGCCGGGAAGAAAACUACAGAUAAAGCAGUAGACUUGUCCAAGGAUGAUCUGCUAGGUGACAUUCUACAGGAUCUAAACACUGAGACAGCUCAAAUAACUCCACCACCUGUAUUGAUACCAAAGAAAAAAAGAUCUACUGGGGCUUUGCUCAACCCUUUUUCAGUGCACACCCCUAAGGCAAUUCCUUCAGGAAAACCUGCUUCCCCUGUCCUCAGGAAUGAGCCUCUGUUAACUCCCAUUCCUCUUAAACGUGCUGAACUUGCUGGAGAGCUGGCUCAGCCAGAAUGUCCAGAAGAUGAGCAGGAGCUAGGGGUAAUGGAGUUUGAAGACGGUGACUUUGAUGAGUCCAUGGACACAGAGAAGGUAGAUGAGAAGCCUGUGACUGCUAAGACUUGGGACCAAGAGACUGAGCCAGUAGAAAGGGUGGAACAUGAGGCAGAUCCUGAGAGGGGAACCACAUCUUACUUAGAAAAUUUUCUGCCAGAUGUCUCUUGUUGGGACAUUGAUCAGGAUGAUGAAAGCAUACCUCAGGAAGUUCAAGUGGAUUCCAGUAAUCUCCCAUUGGUAAAAGGGGCAGAUGAUGAACAAGUGUUUCAGUUUUAUUGGCUGGAUGCUUAUGAAGAUCCAUACAACCAACCAGGUGUGGUUUUUCUGUUUGGCAAAGUGUGGAUUGAAUCAGUCAAAACCCAUGUGAGCUGUUGUGUUAUGGUGAAAAAUAUUGAGCGAACACUCUACUUCCUUCCCCGUGAAAUGAAAUUUGACCUAAACACAGGGAAAGAAACAGCAAUUCCAGUUACAAUGAAGGAUGUUUAUGAAGAAUUUGAUUCAAAAAUUUCAGCAAAAUAUAAAAUAAUGAAGUUCAAGUCCAAGAUAGUGGAAAAGAACUAUGCUUUUGAGAUACCUGAUGUUCCAGAAAAAUCUGAGUACCUGGAAGUUAGAUACUCGGCAGAAGUGCCACAGCUUCCACAGAAUUUAAAAGGAGAAACAUUUUCUCAUGUGUUUGGAACUAACACGUCUAGCUUGGAACUGUUCUUGAUGAAUAGGAAGAUCAAAGGACCUUGUUGGCUUGAAGUAAAAAAUCCACAACUCUUGAAUCAGCCAAUCAGUUGGUGUAAAUUUGAGGUAAUGGCUUUGAAACCAGACCUGGUGAAUGUAAUUAAGGAUGUCAGUCCUCCUCCACUUGUGGUGAUGUCUUUCAGCAUGAAGACAAUGCAGAAUGUACAGAACCAUCAACAUGAGAUUAUUGCUAUGGCGGCUUUGGUUCAUCACAGUUUUGCAUUAGAUAAAGCACCUCCAGAGCCUCCCUUUCAGACACAUUUCUGUGUUGUGUCUAAACCAAAGGACUGUAUUUUCCCAUGUGAUUUCAAAGAAGUGAUUUCGAAAAAGAAUAUGAAGGUUGAGAUCGCUGCAACAGAAAGAACCUUGAUAGGAUUUUUCCUUGCAAAAGUUCACAAAAUUGACCCUGACAUUCUUGUGGGUCAUAAUAUUUGUAGUUUUGAACUGGAAGUGCUGCUGCAAAGAAUUAAUGAGUGCAAGGUUCCUUACUGGUCCAAGAUAGGUCGGCUGAGGAGAUCCAACAUGCCAAAACUUGGGAGCCGGAGUGGAUUUGGUGAAAGAAAUGCUACCUGUGGCCGAAUGAUAUGUGAUGUGGAAAUUUCAGCAAAAGAAUUGAUUCAUUGUAAAAGCUACCAUUUGUCUGAACUUGUUCAGCAGAUUCUGAAAACUGAGAGGAUUGUAAUUCCAACAGAAAAUAUACGAAACAUGUAUAGUGAAUCUUCUUAUCUGUUGUACCUGUUGGAACAUAUCUGGAAAGAUGCCAGAUUCAUUUUGCAGAUCAUGUGUGAGCUAAAUGUUCUUCCAUUAGCAUUGCAGAUCACUAACAUCGCUGGGAACAUUAUGUCUAGGACACUGAUGGGUGGACGAUCUGAGCGAAAUGAGUUUUUGUUGCUUCAUGCAUUUUAUGAAAACAACUAUAUUGUGCCUGACAAGCAGAUUUUCAGAAAACCUCAGCAAAAACUGGGAGAUGAAGAUGAGGAAAUUGAUGGGGACACCAAUAAAUACAAGAAAGGGCGUAAGAAAGCAACUUACGCUGGAGGCUUGGUUUUGGACCCCAAAGUUGGUUUUUAUGACAAGUUCAUUUUGCUCCUGGAUUUCAACAGUUUAUAUCCUUCCAUCAUUCAGGAAUUUAACAUUUGUUUUACAACAGUGCAAAGAGUUACUUCAGAGGUGCAGAAAGCUACAGAGGAUGAGGAACAAGAACAGAUCCCUGAGUUGCCAGAUCCAAACUUAGAGAUGGGCAUUUUGCCCAGAGAGAUUCGGAAACUGGUAGAGCGGAGAAAACAAGUCAAACAGCUAAUGAAACAGCAAGAUUUAAAUCCAGACCUUGUUCUUCAGUAUGACAUCCGACAGAAGGCUUUGAAGCUCACAGCAAACAGUAUGUAUGGUUGCCUGGGAUUUUCGUACAGCAGAUUUUAUGCUAAACCACUGGCUGCCUUGGUGACAUACAAAGGAAGGGAGAUUUUGAUGCAUACGAAAGACAUGGUACAGAAGAUGAAUCUUGAAGUUAUUUAUGGAGACACAGAUUCAAUUAUGAUAAAUACCAAUAGCACCAACCUGGAAGAAGUAUUUAAGUUGGGAAACAAGGUAAAAAGUGAAGUGAAUAAAUUGUACAAACUGCUUGAAAUAGACAUUGAUGCUGUUUUCAAGUCUCUGCUGUUGCUGAAGAAAAAGAAAUAUGCUGCUCUAGUUGUUGAACCAACAUCAGAUGGGAAUUACAUUACCAAGCAGGAGCUGAAAGGAUUAGAUAUAGUUAGAAGAGACUGGUGUGAUCUUGCCAAGGACACUGGAAACUUUGUCAUUGGCCAGAUUCUUUCUGAUCAAAGCCGGGACACCAUUGUGGAAAACAUUCAGAAGAGGUUAAUAGAAAUUGGAGAAAAUGUGCUAAAUGGCAGUGUCCCAGUGAGCCAGUUUGAAAUUAACAAGACAGGGUCUCACUGUGCAGUUCUGGCUUGUCUGGAACUUUCUGGGUAAACCAGAUUUCUUUGCCUCUGCCUUCUUAGUGCUGAGAUUAAAAGUAUGUUGCACCAAGCCCAGCAAAGGGGACUGAACUCUGCACAGGCCAGGAAUCAAUUUCAGCAUUGACAAAGGAUCCCCAGGAUUACCCUGAUAGAAAAAGCUUACCUCAUGUACAUGUUGCACUGUGGAUAAAUUCUCAAGGAGGCAGGAAGGUGAAAGCUGGUGAUACGGUGUCCUAUGUUAUUUGUCAGGAUGGGUCAAACCUCACUGCAACUCAGAGGGCCUAUGCCCCAGAACAAUUGCAGAAACUUGACAAUUUAGCCAUCGACACCCAAUACUACUUGGCCCAGCAGAUCCACCCUGUUGUGGCUCGGAUCUGUGAGCCAAUAGAUGGAAUUGAUGCUGUACUCAUUGCAUUAUGGCUAGGACUUGACUCCACUCAAUUUAGAGUUCAUCAGUAUCACAAAGAUGAAGAGAAUGAUGCCCUCCUUGGUGGUCCAGCACAGCUAACUGAUGAAGAGAAAUACAAGGAUUGUGAAAAAUUCAAAUGCCUUUGUCCUUCAUGUGGAACUGAAAAUAUUUAUGAUAAUGUCUUUGAAGGCUCGGGACUGGAUAUGGAACCCAGUUUGUAUCGUUGCAGUAAUGUUGAUUGUAAGGUUUCACCGUUGACCUUCAUGGUACAGCUGAGCAACAAAUUGAUCAUGGACAUUAGACGGUGCAUUAAAAAGUACUAUGAUGGCUGGUUGAUAUGUGAAGAGCCAACUUGUUGCAGUCGCCUUCGACGUCUUCCCCUUCAUUUCUCCCGAAAUGGGCCUCUGUGUCCAGUCUGCAUGAAAGCUGUGCUUAGACCAGAGUAUUCUGACAAGUCCUUGUACACCCAGCUGUGCUUUUACCGGUACAUUUUUGAUGCGGACUGUGCACUGGAAAAACUUACUGAACAUGAGAAAGAUAAAUUGAAGAAGCAGUUUUUCCCUCUCCGAGUUCUUCAGGACUACAGAAAAGUCAAGAACAUAGCAGAGCAGUUCUUGUCCUGGAGUGGCUACUCUGAAGUGAACCUCAGCAAGCUCUUCGCCAAUUACGCUGGGAAGUCCUGAGAGAGCCGGGAAGGAUGCAAGGAGGCCAGCUGCCCAAUCUGAGCUGCUGAGGCCUCCGCCUGCCCUAACUGCUGCACCACUAUCUUGCUUUUCUUUUGAGGACUGCAUACUGUGUUGAUGUUGAUGUAGAUGUGGACCAGGGUGGGAGUAUCAAAAUACUUAACUUACCAAAUAGUUUUUAUAGCACUAUGUACACCAAACCCUUUCCUAAGUAUCUAAAGACCUAUAUCUUACUGCAGGGCAGAAAUUGCUACUUUAAUUGAGAAUACCUAAGAUGUAAGUGACCUUCAGUUUACCCUGGGGCUUUAUCAGAGACACCCCUAAAAAGAGUUUUAUGGGGUCUAAUGGAAGUUCUAACAUUUUGCUUUUUCACAUGUCAGUUAAACCCAGUCUGUGUCUAAAUACUUGUUCAGCUACUGGCUACAAGCAUGGCUGAUUUCAGUGCUGUCUUUCAUAUAAGUGGUGCAGGUGGUAGGGAGGUGGUGGUGGAGGGAUUUAGAAAGUUUGCACUUACUAAAUACAAAAAGCAAGUUUGCUUAUUGAAUUGUUCAAAGUUCAACAUUCACCAGAUGUUUCACUCACAUUCCUUCUAUUUUCCCUUUACACAGAAUGUUCAAAGUGUAGGUUUAUACAGUAGGAAAGCACAUUUUAAAUACUUUGUCCUAACAUUUCACAAAAUUUAUGGUGAGGUUGUAGUAAGGAUCACUGUUCCAUUCAGAAGAAUGGGACACAGCUGACAGGAUCCAGUGCUUGCUAGAUUUCAUCAGUUCUUCAGAAUAGUGUCUCUUUGAAGUGAUAAACAAUAUUACAAUAUGGCAGCCUUAAAUACUUAUCUAUUUGUCUUUUUAUAAAGAAAAAUGUAUUGUGAUCUGUACCUAAGAAUAAAGUUUCCUAAAGGAAAACCA